UUACAUGACAUAGAACACGAUUCUGUAAUGUAAAUUUAAAUUAUUAAAAAUAAUUGAACCGUUUACAGCACUGAAAUUGAGUCGAACUAAUAUUACAUGACACAGAAUACGAUUUCGUAAUGUAAAAUUCCGUCAUUUAUGAUGCUUCUUUUCUUUUACAUCAUAUAUGCUGUAAUUUUACAGAUUAUUUUCGUACUCUCAAAAACGUUUGAAUCCUCAACAGCACUGAACAAAAUUUUUCCUAAAAUUACACAACAUGUAAUGUUAUAAUGACAUUGAAUUUAAUCUACACAUGACAUAGAAUGUCGUGUAAACUAAAACGAUGUAUCCCAAAAAACACUGAAACUGAAAAUUCCUAAUAUCACACGACAUGGAAUGUUUUAAAUACAAGUAAAAAAAAUAACAUUAAAAAAUCGAUUUGUUUUGUUUAACGUCGCUCGUUUUAAUAAUGCGUCCUCAUCGCAGUUGAAUCAAUUUAUUUAACAAAAUCGUUUGCUCAAAUUUAAGUACAGUGAAACAUGCGAUAAUUGGGGUCAAUUGAAAGUUGAACUUUGUGCAAUAUUUUCAUAGUGUUGUUUUGUUUAGUGCUGCAGACAAUUUGUUCGUGCAUAAAAUCAAAAAGUUUGAUCUGCGACGGGUUUUUGCAGCCAGUGAGCAGUAAAUUUAUUAACUUAAAAUACGGAGACAACGGACCAGGCUAGUCCAUUUACAACUUCAUCUUGGAAAACUUUUAACCGGGGAAUGCGAAAAAUGAGUUAUGUGCCAGCUUCCGUCAGUUGAUGACAAUUGUGGCUUCAUCAAAUUGUCCCGAAAAGCAGCACCGCACCCUCAACUUUAGUUCAGAGGCGCAGAAAAAAUUAUCCCAGCUGCAGAACCUGUGCUACUUAGAUGACACCGGAAUGCUGCUGCUGGUGUAUAUUGAAGUUGGCCCAGGCGUACGAUUCGGUAUUAAAAAGAUGAAAUGUUUGCCGAUAGGCAAAGUUUUCCUGUUCCUGAAAAAGUUGAGUGUCUUAAUCGAACGCAUCCUGCGCGAGAUAGCCAAAAAAACGGUUUCGGAUUUCAGUUCAGGUGACCGUAGGACUGCUCUACCGGACUGUAAAAUACUUUUACAAAUAUUUUUAGGAAUUUAGUUAAUGUUAAGCCUAGAUAAGGAUGUGUAAUUUAAGUUGGCUGAGGGAGACUUAAGAUGAGAAGUUUUUUUUUUAUAAUCAAAUCAAAACACCAAAA